rnacentral:tRNA from 1 species
UCCCUGGUGGUCCAGUGGUUAGGAAUCUGUCUGCUAACGCGGCGGACUCAGGUUUGAUUCCUGUUCAGGGAA